GAGCUUUUUAAAGCACUCCUCCUCAUGUCUUAUUCAGCAUACAUUCUGAGGACAGCUGGAGGAGCCUGUAACAAUGUAACAAGCUACAUUAAUAACUGAAGAUGAGCAAUGAUGGGCAUUCUUCAAGGACCGCAGAUGAGAACACCAUGCCAAGUAUGGCUUUCAGCACCGCAGCAACAUCUGAGGUGCUAGAAGACCUCAUCCUUGAAGCUACAUGCCUGGCAGUUUGGUGGUGAGAAGUCUGUUUUUACUUGCAAAUGUCAGGCAAUCUGAAAGAGGCCAGAGUUUCAUUAUCGAAGAUGACAGGCAUAAAAAGGGGAAGAAUCUUGAAUGGAAAACAAAUUGAAUUUUUCAUGAAAAUUGGAGAAUGCUUUCCGGAACUUGGCGCAAAAUGAGGACUUGCUUUUCUUCUUGGGACUUUCUCUUUUCUGCUUGCUUUGGGAAGUCCAACCCUAAUGUUC